ensembl:miRNA
GCCAGGCAUUGUGGCGGGCGCCUGUGAUCCCAGCUACUUGGGAGGCUGAGGCAGGAGACUUGCUUGAGCCCAGGAGUUGGAGGUUGCUGUGAGC